UGUUCUUUAUAUAAUUUUAUUCAAAUUUGGUGGACAUCUUUGAUUUUUUUUCAAAUAAGGAAAUUUCUAUUAGUAAAUGAAUCAAAUGAAGAAUCUUCAUGGUUAAAUGCAUAGAAAGGAUAUUUGAAGAGAGCCAAUGAUUGACAUAAGGAGAAGCAGUUAUGAAUUUUGAAAUUGAUAUAAAGGAGACGUCAUUCAUCACAGAAGAUUUAAUCAAAGUUUACAGUAUGUUGAGAGAAGUUCAGAACAAGCAAUUUGGUUGAAGAGGAGUUGUCAACACGUCAUCUUUGAACAAGGUCAAUUGUAUUAGAAGUGAAGCCUUAACAGAAAUGAGACAAUAAUCAAAUAAUUCAAAGACUACAUGGAUGUUAUCUGGACUAGCAUUUGUAUGACCUAAAUGUGGUAUUUUUCAUAUGAACACUUACAAGGCAUAUAAUAGUCUGUAACAAACAUUUGUAUGCAAUUAAAGACUUGAAGAACUUGUGCGGUAUUCUUGAAAACGGUACAUUCUUGGUAUGAAUUGAAGAAUUUUUGCUCAUUUAAAUGAAUUAUGAAAAUGUUUUAUAUGUUUAGAAUAAACAAAAACAACAUAAAAGAUAGACAAAUUUUUAUUUUCUUUCUUGAAACUUAUAACAGAAUAAAUUGUCAUAUGCUAA